rnacentral:rRNA from 1 species
AGAGUUUGAUCAUGGCUCAGGAUGAACGCUGGCGGCGUGUCUAAGGCAUGCAAGUCGAACGAUCUAGCCGCAAGGUUAGAUAGUGGCAAACGGGUGCGUAACACAUUGGUAAUCUGCCCCCAACUUGGGAAUAAUCCCGCGAAAGCGGAACUAAUACCCUAUAAUCUCAACAAACUUGUGUUUGUUGCGUAAAGUUUCGGCGGUUGGGGAGGAGCCUAUGGUCUAUCAGCUAGUUGGUAGGGUAAUGGCCUACCAAGGCUACGACGGAUAGCGGGUGUGAGAGCAUGACCCGCCUCAAUGGGACUGAGACACUGCCCAUACUCCUACGGGAGGCUGCAGUCAAGAAUAUUCCCCAAUGGACGAAAGUCUGAGGGAGCGACGCCGCGUGAAUGAAGAAGCCCUUCGGGGUGUAAAGUUCUUUUCUCAGGGAAGAACUAAUGACGGUACCUGAGGAAUAAGAGGCUGCAAACUUCGUGCCAGCAGCAGCGGUAAGACGAAGGCCUCAAGCGUUAUCCGGAUUUAUUGGGCGUAAAGCGCCUGUAGGCGGUUUUUUAAGUUAGAUGUUAAAUAUUAAGGCUUAACCUUGAUGCUGCAUCUAAUACUGAAAGACUAGAGGACGGAAGAGGCGAGUGGAAUUGCCGGUGUAGUAGUCAAAUGCGUUAAUAUCGGCAAGAACACCAAAUGCGAAGGCAUCUCGCUGGGACGUUUCUGACGCUGAGAGACGAAAGCGUGGGGAGCGAAUGGGAUUAGAUACCCCAGUAGUCCACGCUGUAAACGAUGGACACUAGACAUUGGAAGUAUCGACCCUUCCAGUGUCGUUGAUAAAAGUUAACACGUUAAGUGUCCCGCCUGGGUAGUACGGCCGCAAGGCUGAAACUCAAAGGAAUUGACGGGAAUCCGCACAAGCAGUGGAGCACGUGGCUUAAUUCGUAGACAAACGAGGAACCUUACCAGGGCUCGAACCCUAGCUGCAAAGCUUAUGAAAGUAAGCAUCUUUCGAAGGUGCUAGGGAGGUGCUGCAUGGUCGUCGUCAGCUCGUGUCGUGAGAUGUACGGUUAAGUCCGGUAACGAGCGCAACCCUCGUCCUGCGUUAUAUAUUUCGCAGGAGACCGCCCUGUAUAACGGGGAGGAAGGCGGGGAUGACGUCAGAUCAGCAUGGCUCUUACGUCCUGGGCCGCACGCGUGCUACAAUGGCUACUACAAAGGGGCGCUAAACCGUAAGGUGGAGCAAAUCCCUAUAAAAGUAGCCUCAAUUCGGAUUGAGGGCUGAAACUCGCCCUCAUGAAGCCGGAAUUGCUAGUAAACGCGAAUCAGCUACGUCGCGUUGAAUACGUUCUCGGGUUUUGCACACACCGCCCGU